AAAGAUUCCUCCAUCACCCUCAUCGUUUCCAUCGGGAAAUUCAUCAGUCUCAGCAGCUCACUGUUACGGUCUAAUAACGUCGACCCAUUCUAGAUCAUUCAAUUCUGUUCUUUACUCCUUUCUUUAUGAGAGAUGAUGUACGAGCUGUUUGGUUGCUAAUGUUGUUGGACAACCCCAUCAUGGAGUUCAGCCAGGCUAUACGUGCUUUAAAAGAAGCCACUUGCUGUGGAAGUUUGAGCUCACGCUGGCUGGAUGCACAUUUAUUCAUCUCAAAUAUAUAUUUUUCUCUGCAGGGAAAGGGUUUCUUUAGCUCAUGGAAAAAAGCACGAGUAAACGAUCAGUUAACCGGAUGGUUCUGCAUUGACGGUUCUGUAUUGGGUGCAUGAUAAUAUGAUCAAGAUAGAUGAAAGAGUGUCUCUUUCUGCAGCUGGAGAUGGUUAUAUUGCAAAGAAAAGAGUUUUGGCUACCAGCCUAAGGAACGGAUUUCGGUUCACCGCCUUUCUCCAGUAUCAUUGCUGAUUGCAGCUGCGAUUUUGGAACUGUUAAGUUUGCGUAAAGAUCAAGAAGCUGCUCAUAAGUAGUUUCAAAGAAACCAGUGUAUCCAUCUUCUAAGCCGGGAAAAGACUUAUACAAGCUGAACCAAAGAAGCACAUUCCUCGUAUAGCUCCAGAGGUUUUGAAUGUGCAAGAGAAGGAUGAAAAGGUAGAUGGAGAUGCAUGUAUCUAUGAGCAAGUUUUCCAUAGUAAGGAUGAGGACAUGAGGCAAGCCAUGAACAAAUGAAUCAUUCGUGAACUGAUAAAUCUCUCUCUGUCUUAUUUUUAACAGCUUAUCUUUUUGUCAUUAAUUUUGACAGAGAAUGUACUUUCUCAGCUGAUUUUGGGUUUGACAGGCAGACUUGAAAAUGAUAGAGCUGUCUACAGAGGAGAAAAAGCUAGGGACUAAAUACAUGAAGAAUAUUUUGUCUUAAAAUUAAGUUAAAGUGAUUCCUUGGUUAAAUCAUUGUCACAUGAAAGAUGUGUUCAUAGAAGUGUAUGCGGUGUUAUCUUUCUUUGUCGAACAUCUCUAUAGACUAUCAUUUUCAACUACUACCAAAGUAAAACUUGGAAGCUAAGAGAAAAAUUGUACAUGCUAUAAUUCAAUAAAGUUUUAGAUAUUAUCCAUUA